AUCAAAUAUGUUGAUACACUAGUCUGCUUUACGAUACAGUAAUACACAUGAAAUUACUGUAAAUACACAUACAUGCGAAAAACUGCAUAGCCAAAUGCUAAAACAGAAAAGGAAAACAAAAAAAUGGUCCUGGGCCGAAUCUGCACAACCCAAACCAGUGGGCAUAACCCACAUGUUUUUUCAUUCUCGCUUCCUUUUUUUGUUUUUGGACAGAGAUGGGCCUUUGGCCGGCCCACAGACGCGCACCGCCCCAGAUAUCGGAUAAGGGAGAGGCUACGGGUUCCGUCCCCAUUGACCAACCGCCUCUAAUCCUGGUCCAAACGGCGGCCUCGGCUGCCUCCCGGCCAUCCUUCGUCGUCGCUGGACAGAGGGUCCCGGACUCCCGGCGCGCCAUACUUCUCCUCUGAAGAAUAAUUUAUCUCGCUGCCGCGCAAGCAAACUACCUGACGCUUGCCUCGAUGAUGAGCGGCACGCCGACGCCGUGCGCCGUUCGACUGCUGCUACCGAAGCCGCGCGCCAGUGCCGGAAUGCCUCACUGGGCCCCGACGGUUGUGCCGAGGGCCACAACGCGGGCUGGGCGCCGCCUACGCGCGCGAUGCACGCGGUGCCGCCACCGUCCCUUCUGCAGGGCUGCAUGAUCUUCUUUGCCAUGGAGAUGGAGGGGCUGGUGCGUCGCCGCCCUCUGUGUGGAGAGCGCCGACAAGAGGCAUCUCCUCCCCUCUAUAAUCUUGGGCGUCGCCUCACGACCGCUGCUGAUGCCGAAGGUACCAUCGGCCAUGUUCAUGUCGUGGAUGGCUGUUGUCGACGUCGAAGGUGCCAUACUGCCAUGGGUCCUUCCGCUCUUGUCGUCAUGUGCAGGGCCGCGUGAGCCGCCGCCGGUCCUCAAGAAAGGGGCGAAGUCCACGCCGUUGCAUCACCAUGACGCCGCGCGUACGACGCAGACGUGGUCGCCGCCGUGACUGAUGUUGCCAUCCGCACCGGGGCUUGAUGCUUCACUCCACCGCACCGGAUACCGCUGCUUGAGCGUAGCGCCGGCACAGCCAGGGAUCGCGCGAGGCAUCGCUGUUGUCUCUGGCCUAAUCGCUCUCCGUUAGGCAAAGUGCUGAUAACGUGUUAAUAGACAGAUUGCAAAAUGAAUCCAAUCAGUAUCAAUUUCAUUGAUGAUCAAUCCU